rnacentral:rRNA from 1 species
AUGGCGCCGGAGCUGGCGACGAUCGCAUUGCAUGUCGACGCCACUGAUGGAGCGCACGCACCUAAAAUAUUGUGUUGUUUUGGCGCCAUUUGUUUUGAGCCGCAGGUCCGGCCCGUCUGCUGCUGUGGCGUGGCGAGCGGCUCGCUGCUAGCGAGGGGCGGCUUUUGGGUUUUGGCACAAGCGCGCCCGGCACGUCUGCGCGAGGCUCACGCGCCUGCUUCGCUUUGCUCCAAGAAUACGCGGAGAAGGUGGCUCGGGUCGGCGUCGGCGCCGUCCGGCACGGGCCACGGGCCCGCUUCCAAGCGCGUCUGCGCGUCGGCCACCCACGCCGUGUCCUUCAAGUGCCACUUCCACCGCACCAACUCCCAGGGUCACGGCCAUGGCCAGGGCCAGGGAAGCCGCCCUUCUUUGCCCCCUUCAUCGGCCGCGGCCAACACGGUGUCGCGGCACCCGGCCUCGCCGUCCUCGUCCUCCAGCACCGUCGCGACCUAG